rnacentral:piRNA from 1 species
UGAAACGAGACUUAAGAGGCUUCAGGGAG